rnacentral:lncRNA from 1 species
AUCACUAUAACAAAAUAAAAAAUCCAAGAUAUAGAUAGAAUUAGAACAGCAAUGGAUAAGAUUACAUCAUAUAUAUAUAUAUUGAUCAUUCGAUCUCUCCCUCCUUGUGUGUCUCAAUGACAACGUCUGACCUAGGUUGAGCAACACAGGUGAGAACCCAGCCACUAUCUAUUUGCUCAUCAUCAAGGAAGCUACCAUCUGACUGGUCCACGUUACCUUCCACAAUUUUGCCAACACAGGAAACGCAAGAACCGGCCCUGCACGAGUAGGGAAGUUCAAUGCCUUCGUCCUCUGCCUUGUCAACAAUGAAAACAUCAUCUGGGCAUUCAAACUCCACUUCUCCUUCUGGGGUUAUGAGCUUCACCUUGUACGAGGCCAUGCAAGUGACACGACCACCUCGUCCACUUUUCAGACCAAAAAGAGCUUCACCAACGUUGGGGAAUGUCUUUAGGCUUGUG